AUUGAACGCUGGCGGCAGGCCUAACACAUGCAAGUCGAACGGUAACAGGAAGAAGCUUGCUUCUUUGCUGACGAGUGGCGGACGGGUGAGUAAUGUCUGGGAAACUGCCUGAUGGAGGGGGAUAACUACUGGAAACGGUAGCUAAUACCGCAUAACGUCGCAAGACCAAAGAGGGGGACCUUCGGGCCUCUUGCCAUCGGAUGUGCCCAGAUGGGAUUGGCUAGUAGGUGGGGUAACGGCUCACCUAGGCGACGAUCCCUAGCUGGUCUGAGAGGAUGACCAGCCACGCUGGAACUGAGACACGGUCCAGACUCCUACGGGAGGCAGCAGUGGGGAAUAUUGCACAAUGGGCGCAAGCCUGAUGCAGCCAUGCCGCGUGUAUGAAGAAGGCCUUCGGGUUGUAAAGUACUUUCAGCGGGGAGGAAGGGAGUAAAGUUAAUACCUUUGCUCAUUGACGUUACCCGCAGAAGAAGCACCGGCUAACUCCGUG
rnacentral:rRNA from 1 species